rnacentral:rRNA from 1 species
CCUACGGGUGGCAGCAGUGGGGAAUAUUGGGCAAUGGAGGCAACUCUGACCCAGCAACGCCGCGUGAGUGAUGAAGGUCUUCGGAUUGUAAAACUCUUUAAGUGGGGACGAAGAAAGUGACGGUACCAACAGAAUAAGCCUCGGCUAACUACGAGCCAGCAGCCGCGGUAAUACGGAGGAGGCAAGCGUUAUCCGGAAUGACUGGGCGUAAAGGGUGCGUAGGUGGUUUGACAAGUUAGUAGCGUAAUUCCGGGGCUCAACUUCGGAACUACUACUAAAACUGUUGGGCUUGAGUGCAGGUUAGGUGACUGGAAUUCCUAGUGUAGCGGUGGAAUGCUUAGAUAUUAGGCGGAACACCAGCGGCGAACGCGAUUCACUGGACUGUACCUGACACUGAGGUACGAAAGCGUGGGGAGCAAACAGGAUUAGAUACCCCGGUAGUC